rnacentral:tRNA from 1 species
CUAAAUAUAGUAUAAUUAAUACAUUUCGCUUACAACGAAAAACUCUUUGUGUUUAGU